rnacentral:tRNA from 1 species
GGAGCUGUGGCUGAGUGGUAAAGCGCUUGGCUUCCAAACCGAGGUCCUGGGUUCGAAUCCUGGGAUUUUUA